ACCAGGUCUUGACAUCCGAUGCUAUUUCUAGAGAUAGAAAGUUACUUCGGUACAUCGGUGACAGGUGGUGCAUGGUUGUCGUCAGCUCGUGUCGUGAGAUGUUGGGUUAAGUCCCGCAACGAGCGCAACCCCUAUUGUUAGUUGCCAUCAUUCAGUUGGGCACUCUAGCGAGACUGCCGGUAAUAAACCGGAGGAAGGUGGGGAUGACGUCAAAUCAUCAUGCCCCUUAUGACCUGGGCUACACACGUGCUACAAUGGUUGGUACAACGAGUUGCGAGUCGGUGACGGCGAGCUAAUCUCUUAAAGCCAAUCUCAGUUCGGAUUGUAGGCUGCAACUCGCCUACAUGAAGUCGGAAUCGCUAGUAAUCGCGGAUCAGCACGCCGCGGUGAAUACGUUCCCGGGCCUU
rnacentral:rRNA from 1 species